AUAAUUUUUCGACUUUUGUUGUUAAUGAACAGACGAACAAAAUCCCAUAUGUACGUACUCAAAUUAUAAAAAGCGAGCGGAAAAAUAUUACACGUCAAACGUCGGCAAUAAAAAAAUAACAAAGAUAAAAUAGACAAGUUAUGUAUUGUAUAAAAAAUUGGUAUAAUUUGAGGUUGCAAAUACCCUGCAGGGAAAAUACUCGCUAGUACCGAACUAUGUAGUUCGCGUUCCUUAUCUUACCCAUAUAAGCAACUGGAUAUCAUUAAACAGUACAAGCAAACCAGUUUCAAAUAUUUUUUCAUAAUGAAUAUGAUAAGUUUUAUGAAUUAACAAAUUUACUCUUUAUAAAAUUAAAUUGGAACAUAUUUGACCACCCAACCCAAUUCGAACCAACUACUUCACGAGUGACUCGACGCCUGUGCUGUAAUACAGCUCUUGUACGUUAGUCUCAAUCACGGGAACGCAUGGAGUUUUGAGGGGUAACGUUCUCUGCUCGAUAAGCUUCGCAAUUGUCAAUAUCGUUCAAGUCCCGAAUCAGAGAUCUGUUUCACUAGCGUAAGAUUUACCUGCAGGGCACACACUUGUAUAUAUAUAUACAAAUAUAUAUGAACUCAAUGCCAAUGGCAUAAGAUUGGGCUGACAUAUAUACAUACACACGUACUACAUACAUAACAUAUAAAUAUAUAAAAAUGUAAAUAAUUUUCAAAAGCUCCCGCUCUUGAAACAUUUGCCAGUAAAAGUGCUCAACAUGUCGAAAAUUUAUCUUUUAUAUAUAAUAACGAAGAAAUGGUGAUAUUAUUAAGUAGUGAAUUUAUAAUUAAAAAACAUGAUCUUUUUUUUUUCUAACUGCAAGCUGAAUUAAUUUUGAAUUUAAAUUGUCUCUAAGCUAAGAAAACUAAUCAAACAUACCAAAAUAGAGUAGCAAAAAUUGUUAAACGCACAAAUUACGUACACAGAAAAUAUUUAUGUAUAUAGGAAAAAAACUGUAUAUGCAUAAUAAUAUAUUAAUGAAAGUGAAAUUUUUUUUCGUUUAUGCAGAUUUUUAUUUUUAACUACAAGCUAUUGUAUUUGAAUAGUGUUUUUUUUGUUUUUGUUUCUUUACUCCGAUUCGCAAAUGAUUUAAAGCACAAGCACAUAUACUUUUUAAUGUUUAUCUCAAACAGGUUUUAAGCAUAAAAAGAACUUAACAACUGCAACACACAUACGUAAAUAUGAGAGGCUGUAAACUUGAUUUAUUACACAAAGCACCAACUUAGCAACUAGUUUUGAUUCUGAGAUAUAUUAUUUUAAAGUGAUACAAUUUACUUGUAGAGUUACAAAAUGUGCACGCAUACAUACAUACAUACGUAUGUAGGACAAAGAUGUGCUUGUAUGCAGUGGCGAAAGUUAAACAAAACGAUUUGUAUUGGUAACUUAAUUUUCAAUAAAGAGAUUGUAAAAAGGUG